GGCCCUGCCCACACCCUGACCUCAGACUUCACCCGCGGGCCUGUGAGAAUGCAUUUCUCUUGUUUCGUUCAGUCUGCGGUGCCUUGGCGGCCCUUGUAAACAAAUACACGUUACAUGCUAUCUUUUGAAUAUACACUUCACGAUAAAUUUUUCUAAGUGCUAAAAAGAACAGAUAAUAGCAUAAGAAAUACUCGUGUACCUUCUGCCAAAAUUUGCAGUCUUCUUCUGUGUGAAUUUAUAUCCGCACAUGUCCUACCCCCAAACUCCUACAUCGGCUUCACCAGACACCCCAUUCUAUUACCGUUUUUUCCAACCACUAUGUCAUGAUUAUCUUCUCCAACAAGUCUUUGAUCUGUUGGUUUUCUGACUGGAAACAUAUUCCUUUGCAAAAAUGCUUAAACAUGACAGAAACUUACAAUUUAUAAGUGAAAAUCUUCCCCACCUCCAGCUUUUUUUUACAUGCAGAUACGAACAGGCACAGGAUUUUUUCAUGCAGAAAUAGCAUCACGGCCAACUUCCAGUAUUUUGUGGCUAACAGCCUUGCCUUUUCUUUUUCUGAGCUAGAUUUUAGAGAUCUUUCCAUGUCUGAACGAUUGAGGUCUUAUUUUUAAUGGUUCUGUAGUAUUCCCUUGAAUAUACAUCACAUAACUUAUCAAGCACCCAACUGAUUUUUCUUUUCCCUUUUUU